rnacentral:lncRNA from 1 species
AUGCAUAAAGCUGCACUAUUCGGAAGAAGCGAGAUUGUCUUUCCUCACAGCUACGGCGCUGCGCCACUCUCAACACAGCCUGCUUUUUCCCCCAUUUACCUGGGCGGCUGCUGCUGUUUCUGCUGCUGCUGGGGCUGCUGCAGUCUCGCUGCCUGUGCUUCACCCUGGUUUGGCUGACUUGAGACUCACUCGUCUGCACAUUGCUAAGGAAGAAGAGCGAUGAAGCCACAUUUUUUUCUGUUGGUUCUGGAAGCAAAGGGUUGUGCUUUGUGGUGGUUUCAGGGUUUUCUUUGUUUUUUGGGAGGGGGAAAGGAGGCAUGUUCAUCUAGGAUGGGGUGGGUGAAAGCUUAAAGAAAUAUGAUGUAAAGUAAUCCAGUGCUCAACAAGGGCAUCAGCAGCAAGAAUCCAGCCUCUGCUGCUCCAGAGGAUUAACAUGGGGAAAGCCACAGAGCUGCAAUCGGGUUUCACCUCAGCGUUGUGCUGGAGAUGGAUAAAUAAGGUAUUGGUUGUGUCUGCCUGUUAAGGCAAAGCCACGGGAGGAAGAGCGAGAGAGCGAGUGAAAAUGUAGAGGAAGAAGAAAUGCUGUGUGCUGUUUGUCUGAUCUGUGCAUUCUCAUUGCAGAGAGGAUGG